CCGCAGGCGCCCCCCACCGCCGCCGCCCGGGGGCCAAGCUCCUGCACCAUGGGCCCGGACCCAGCGCUGCCUGCUCUGUCUCAAGGUUGAGCUUUUCAUCUUCAAUCUGAUCUUCUGGCUGGGGCAGCUGUGGGGCGCUGGGCGUGGGCUCUG